GUAUCUUUUUUAUCUGUCCUUUCAAUUGUAGACUCAGGUUGAUCCGACUUUGACUGGUUUUUGUUUUCUGCACCUUUAUUACUAACAUUUUCAGUAAUUCUGCGAUUUUUCGAAAUCUCACGACACUUAUCUUCAAAAUCAGAAUCCAAUUCUGCUUUUAUUAACGCAUAUGCAUUGUCACGAAGAGAACAUGCACGAUGUCUUAUAAGUUUGUCAGCUGGAUCUCUGUGAAAAACAAGAUACAUACAUACACAAAUAAUAAUGAAAAUAUCACUAGUGAAAAGCUGUAUCAACUAGCAACAGUGGUCUUCAAUGUUAAAUAUGUAUACAGACUAAAACUGAACCCACAAAUAUUUUAAGAAAAGUUCAUAUAAAUAUAUGUUCUAAUACUGUGUUCUGUAUACAAAAAAUUGAAGACUACUUAAACUACUGAGCAAUGACAGUAACAGAUAAACAGGAAAGUCUGAACUACCUCUUCAAUAUUCCAAGCGAAGGUCUAUCACGUUAUGAGGGUGAUAAUGAAGAAAUAAAUGCCAACAUUAAUAAAUAUAAAUAAUAGUAUAUAAAGUACUUACAAAACUAUAGAAAGUUAAUCGAUUCUUAACUCCAAAAUGAAAAUAAUUAGUGUAAUAAUACAUAAAACAAACAAAAUUUAUAUAAAGUCUAUCUAAAUAAUCCUGUUCUCAAUUACCCUUAAAUAAAUUUAAAUAACAAAUUUAAUAACAUAAUUUCUGUGUAUUAAAUGUACAAACCUAUCAGGGUUAUAUUCUAAUGCAUUUUUACAAAUCAGAUCGAUAUCAUCAAGAAAAUCCCUCGCGCAAAGAUAGCAAUGCAUAUCUAUCUUUGUCAUCAUUGUUUCCAAGUCCAUUGGCUGUUUUAUAAUCAUAUUAUAAUCUGGUACUUCUUCUGUGUCCACGGGU